GUCGAGAAUAAUUCACAAUGGACGAAAGUCUGAUGGUGCAACGCCGCGUGGAGGAUGAAGGUCUUCGGAUUGUAAACUCCUGUCAUCGGGGAGUAAGACCUGGCGGUAAAUAGCCGACAGGGUUGAUAGUACCCGAAGAGGAAGGGACGGCUAACUUCGUGCCAGCAGCCGCGGUAAUACGAAGGUCCCAAGCGUUGUUCGGAAUCACUGGGCGUAAAGGGAGCGUAGGCGGCGUGGUAAGUCAGAUGUGAAAUCCCGGGGCUCAACCCCGGAACUGCAUCCGAUACUGCCAUGCUUGAGGGUUGGAGAGGUAGCUGGAAUUCUCGGUGUAGCAGUGAAAUGCGUGGAUAUCGAGAGGAACACUCGUGGCGAAGGCGAGUCACUGGACAACAUCUGACGCUGAGGCUCGAAGGCCAGGGGAGCAAAAGGGAUUAGAUACCCUAGUAGUCC
rnacentral:rRNA from 1 species